AUUGAACGCUGGCGGCAGGCCUAACACAUGCAAGUCGAGCGGAUGAGGAAAGCUUGCUUUUCGAUUCAGCGGCGGACGGGUGAGUAAUGCCUAGGAAUCUGCCUGUUAGUGGGGGAUAACUCGGGGAAACUCGGGCUAAUACCGCAUACGUCCUACGGGAGAAAGUGGGGGAUCUUCGGACCUCACGCUAACAGAUGAGCCUAGGUCGGAUUAGCUAGUAGGUGAGGUAAUGGCUAACCUAGGCGACGAUCCGUAACUGGUCUGAGAGGAUGAUCAGCCACAUUGGGACUGAGACACGGCCCAAACUCCUACGGGAGGCAGCAGUGGGGAAUAUUGGACAAUGGGCGCAAGCCUGAUCCAGCCAUGCCGCGUGAGUGAUGAAGGCCUUGGGGUUGUAAAGCACUUUAAGUUGGGAGGAAGGGUAUUCACCUAAUACGUGGGUACUUUGACGUUACCAACAGAAUAAGCACCGGCUAACUCUGUGCCAGCCGCCGCUGUAAUAC
rnacentral:rRNA from 1 species